AAAAUGCUUGUCAUUUUUUUGUAUUUCCUGCUCAUCAUGCGUCCAGAUGUAAUCAAAUCAGUACCUGCCAUACCCAAAAGUCACCACAACACCAUGCGCCGUUGAGCAAUUGAACUAGUGGCCAGGCAAGCCAUCACAGUGUCUGGUCAGAUGUUCUCAUCCAGACCUUAGACCCUGUGAUGGCAAACAGUAAUGGUGUUUCCCCUCUGUUCUUUUCCAUCUGGGAAACACCAUGUCAUACAUCACACUGAGAUUCCAUCUCUCUCAGAGAACCCGUUCGCGGCUCUCUCUGCGCAUGCGCGAAGUACGCGCAUGUGCGGUGUAUGUAUCCCGGCCAGCCGGAUGACUGUCAAUCAAUCUGACGUCAUCCGCGCGGGGUAUUUAAAUUCAGCAAGAGCCUGUCACAUUCAGGUUCUUUUGCUGAAUGCUAACCAGGGCGGACGUCCAGCGUGGCCGCACGCCGAUGCAUCCCUUUGGAUUUCUCUGUGAUUGAGCACAGUAACAGUACAAUCCUCACCACUGCCGCAGUGCCAUCUAGUGGCCGUUUUUGAGUUAACCCUCAUUCCAGCUUCCAAAUCCAUUUGCUAAUUAAGGAGAGGACUUUUGCGGACAUUCUUCCACCUGUUGUCCUCACAUUGCUUUUUCAACCGUGCGUUCUUUUGGCCCUUUGAACUGUUCCAUUCACGUCCAGGUUAUUAUACUUCCUUACAAGAUACCCCAACUAGUUCUACACUGCCCAACGGUGUAUGGUGAAUGUGGGUAUGACUUAUAGUACCAGACUCCACCCCACAAGGUGAAUGGUCUGAUUACAAUUUGCAUCUUGGACGCUGUUGAGCAUUCUUCAAACUUACUAAGCACCGUUUAUCGAAGCUCCCGAAGAAGCGACGACGUCGCGAAACAUGUCGAGCUGAACCCAAUUUUAAUCAGAACUCAUCCUGUACCAUCUUUCGAAGUUACAAUGCCACCCAGCGCUUCUAGUGUAUUCUAUACAUCCAGCCCUGUGGCUAAUAGCGGUGUCUUCAGAAAGUGAUAGGAUUUGAGCUCUUUUGUGUAUUCUAUUAUCUACUUUUUUCCUUUUUUCUUAUUAUUUAGAGCAAUUGUUUUGUAUACCUGUGUUUUGUAUUUUCUAAAUUAAAAUAUUUAUAAUCUUAA